rnacentral:rRNA from 1 species
AGUAGGGAAUAUUGGUCAAUGGAUGGAAGUCUGAACCAGCCAUGCCGCGUGCAGGAAGAAGGCCUUCUGGGUUGUAAACUGCUUUUGCCAGGGGCUAAAAAGCUCAUGCGUGAGAAAUUGAAAGUACCUGGUGAAUAAGCCACGGCUAACUACGUGCCAGCAGCCGCGGUAAUACGUAGGUGGCAAGCGUUGUCCGGAUUUAUUGGGUUUAAAGGGUGCGUAGGCGGCUUUGUAAGUCAGUGGUGAAAUAUGGCAGCUCAACUGUCAGGGUGCCAUUGAUACUGCGGAGCUUGAGUACAGAUGAGGUAGGCGGAAUUGACGGUGUAGCGGUGAAAUGCUUAGAUAUCGUCAAGAACACCGAUAGCGAAGGCAGCUUACUAGGCUGUAACUGACGCUGAGGCACGAAAGUGUGGGGAUCAAA